CCUACGGGAGGCAGCAGCUAAGAAUCUUCCGCAAUGGGCGAAAGCCUGACGGAGCGACGCCGCGUGAACGAAGAAGGCCGUGAGGUUGUAAAGUUCUUUUCGGGAGGGGGAACAACCGUGGCAGGGAAUGGCCGCGGGAUGACGUGAAUCCCGGAAUAAGCCCCGGCUAACUACGUGCCAGCAGCCGCGGUAACACGUAGGGGGCGAGCGUUGUUCGGAAUCAUUGGGCGUAAAGGGCGUGCAGGCGGUCCUGUAAGUCCGGCGUGAAAGACCCCGGCCCAACCGGGGGGGCGCGCUGGAAACUGCAGGGCUUGAGUACAGGAGGGGAUGCCGGAAUUCCAGGUGUAGGGGUGAAAUCUGUAGAUAUCUGGAAGAACACCAAUGGCGAAGGCAGGCAUCUGGCCAUGUACUGACGCUGAGACGCGAAGGUGCGGGGAGCAAACA
rnacentral:rRNA from 1 species